rnacentral:tRNA from 1 species
AGGAAUAUAGUUAAAUUUAUAAUAUUUAUUUUGCUAAUAAAAGUUAUUUUAUAAUUAUUCUUA